ACUGGGCGUAAAGGGCACGCAGGCGGUGACUUAAGUGAGGUGUGAAAGCCCCGGGCUUAACCUGGGAAUUGCAUUUCAUACUGGGUCGCUAGAGUACUUUAGGGAGGGGUAGAAUUCCACGUGUAGCGGUGAAAUGCGUAGAGAUGUGGAGGAAUACCGAAGGCGAAGGCAGCCCCUUGGGAAUGUACUGACGCUCAUGUGCGAAAGCGUGGGGAGCAAACAGGAUUAGAUACCCUGGUAGUCCACGCUGUAAACGAUGUCGAUUUGGGGGUUGAACUUUGAGUUUGGCGCCCGUAGCUAACGUGAUAAAUCGACCGCCUGGGGAGUACGGCCGCAAGGUUAAAACUCAAAUGAAUUGACGGGGGCCCGCACAAGCGGUGGAGCAUGUGGUUUAAUUCGAUGCAACGCGAAGAACCUUACCUACUCUUGACAUCCAGAGAACUUUCCAGAGAUGGAUUGGUGCCUUCGGGAACUCUGAGACAGGUGCUGCAUGGCUGUCGUCAGCUCGUGUCGUGAG
rnacentral:rRNA from 1 species